GCCGAAGUAGCCGAGAGGUUAGGAUUUCCCACUGACAUUCGGAAGGUUCGGGUUCAAAUCCCCGUGCGACCAU
rnacentral:tRNA from 1 species